rnacentral:rRNA from 1 species
CUGCUGCCUUCCGUAGGAGUUUGGGCCGUGUCUCAGUCCCAAUGUGGCCGUCCACCCUCUCAGGCCGGCUACUGAUCGUCGCCUUGGUGGGCCGUUACCCCGCCAACAAGCUAAUCAGACGCGGGUCCAUCUUACACCACCGGAGUUUUUCACACAAAUCCAUGCGGCUUCGUGCGCUUAUGCGGUAUUAGCACCUAUUUCUAAGUGUUAUCCCCCAGUGUAAGGCAGGUUACCACGCGUUACUCACCCGUCCGCCACUAAGUA